rnacentral:tRNA from 1 species
CGCGGUGUAGCUUAAAGGAUAGAGCGCCUGCCCAUCUUCGAAAUUCACGCCAGCACGUGAAGAGUAGGGGCGGGGGGAUGCGGGUUCAAGUCCCGUCACCGCGCCCA